AUAAAGGAGGAAUAUAAGUUUCAACUUCCAUUGAGUUUAUAGGGGUGGAUUUCAUCGCACCAGUUAUAAUGCGCAGUGCUUGAUUUUGAAUGAUAUCUAACUUUUUUAGAAGACUAGCGCUAGCAUUAAUAUAUGCUAAGCAACUAUAGUCAAAGUGGCUCCUAACUAAACUUUUAUACAACAUUGAGAGAAUUUUUGGAUCAGCACCCCAAAAAACUCCUGCUAAACAUCUCAAUAUAUUGAGUCGCUUAAUGGGCAAAACACACUGAGUUUUCCACUCGUCGGGAAUAACUUGUUUGGACCAUAGGUGAUUGUAGAUAUUAAGAAGAACUGCUUGUGCAUUUUUGUGUGGACUGUAAAUGCAAAGGAUUGUAAUGGAACCUAUACCUGUUUCUAUGGUUAUGGCAAUAGUCUGUAUAUCUUGAUAAUUUGGAGUCGGAUGCUGCACAUACUUUAUAGAAUUCCUAAUAAUUAUUGCCACUCCUCCGUGUUCAUUUGUAGCAUUUUUAUAAAUGAAAUUAUACCCAGGGAAAUGAACCCGAGGACUUGAAGUUUUAAGCCAUGUUUCAUUUAAUAAAGCUAUAUCUAUUUCUUUAUCUAUUAAGAGUGAUUGAAGUAAAGGUUUUUUAUUAUUUAAACUCUGGAUGUUAUGCUGUACAAUAUUAAUACUAUCCAUUACUUAUUAAAGUUUUUAAUGAAUGUUUCUUUAAUAUG